UUAUUUUAUAUAGGAAACAACAAAAGCUCUUUCUCUCAUAAGAACAAAAACCAGCCACAUGCAUAUUAAAAAAGAAAAUGAAAAGAAGUAUAGUAAAGCCACACAAAGAAGAACAGAGGCGGAGAGAUACCGAGAAUGGCGGACGGAGCUCCUCCGGCACGGUGGCCGGAGGUGAAAAUUUUCAGAACUCGAAAAUUUUACAUCAUCCCGUUCGUUUUUCUCUCCUUAGUUCAAAUAUCAGUGCAGGUAACACGAAAGUAAAGAUGGAUUCGGUAUCAGAAGAAGGUUCUCAACCUUUUGAGGCAAAGAAAUAAAAAAACGGUGGCGGUUGAGAGCUCCGGCACGGCGGUUUUGGAAUUCCGGCGGUGGUUUCCGGUCAAGCUCGGUUCAGGAGGAGGUGAACCCGAUGCCAAACCAUGAAGCUUAGAAGAAAAUGGUAGACUUGUGAAGGUGUAAACCAAGAGUUUUGACAUGAAUUUGUUCUUUGAAUCUUAGACCAUAGGAAAUCUCAAAUUAUGCUUCUUGUAGGAUAAGAAACUUUGUAAUUUGGUAUAGGAACCUUGAAUCCCUCUUGUAUUUUUGAAGCUUUAACUUGAAGAAAAUUGGAUUCUUUGAAUGGAAUGAGGAAUCUUGUUUUGAACCUUGUAA